CACUCCGACUCACAAUAACUGUGUGUUCACACUUGUUUCUUUUCUUGUCUUCUCCAUUAUGUUCUCCAGGAUGUUCCAUAUAGUUGAAUUUCUCGCCAAUAAAACCAUAGCAGUGGUGCCCCAAAGUUGGUAUGAGGAUGGUUGUGCAUCGUGGCCAACUUACACCAGCGAUGAAAGAAUAGAUAGGGCAGUAAAACAUGGAGAGGAGCCACAGGAUGACUGGCAGAUUCAUGAUGUCAGAAUCAUCAAAUCAUCUGAUACUUACAUGGAGGCACGUCAAAUUUUAAAGAAGGCUCUGACAUGUAGCACCUCGGACCUCCAAACUGAGGAUGAACAGGAACGGCCUGGGAGAAGGAGAACAAAAGCGAAACAUUUCUUUGGUGAUACGGAUGUAGAGG